rnacentral:RNase_P_RNA from 1 species
CGAGAUAACCGGACGGUUGCGGCGGGCGUAUGCCCGACGAGGAAAGUCCGAACACCGCAGGACAGGAUGCCGGCCAACUACCGGUGGAGGCGACUCCAAGGAAAGUGCAACAGAAAUAGACCGCCGCGCUUUUACGGCGCGGUAAGGGUGGAAAGGUGAGGUAAAAGCUCACACGGUUUCGCGGUAACGCGAAGCGUCCAUGUAAACCCCAUCCGGUGCAAGAUUGAGGGAGCACAGAUCGUCCGUCUUUCCCUCUCCCAUCGCUCGAGCCGUACGGUAACGUACGGCCUAGACAGAUAGCCGUCCCAGACAGAAUUCGGCUUACAGGUUAUUCUCGCGAA